GCGUGAGGAACCUGGCUCAAAGAGGGGGACAACAGUUGGAAACGACUGCUAAUACCGCAUAAGCCCACGGGUCGGCAUCGACCUGAGGGAAAAGGAGCAAUCCGCUUUGAGAUGGCCUCGCGUCCGAUUAGCUAGUUGGUGAGGUAACGGCCCACCAAGGCGACGAUCGGUAGCCGGACUGAGAGGUUGAACGGCCACAUUGGGACUGAGACACGGCCCAGACUCCUACGGGAGGCAGCAGUGGGGAAUAUUGCACAAUGGGGGAAACCCUGAUGCAGCGACGCCGCGUGGAGGAAGAAGGUCUUCGGAUUGUAAACUCCUGUUGUUGAGGAAGAUAAUGACGGUACUCAACAAGGAAGUGACGGCUAACUACGUGCCAGCAGCCGCGGUAAAACGUAGGUCACAAGCGUUGUCCGGAAUUACUGGGUGUAAAGGGAGCGCAGGCGGGAAGACAAGUUGGAAGUGAAAUCUAUGGGCUCAACCCAUAAACUGCUUUCAAAACUGUUUUUCUUGAGUAGUGCAGAGGUAGGCGGAAUUCCCGGUGUAGCGGUGGAAUGCGUAGAUAUCGGGAGGAACACCAGUGGCGAAGGCGGCCUACUGGGCACCAACUGACGCUGAGGCUCGAAAGUGUGGGUAGCAAACAGGAUUA
rnacentral:rRNA from 1 species